CGCGCGCGCAUGAGUUUUGAUAAGGGCUGUCCCUAGUACGAGAGGACCGGGACGUACGAACCUCUGGUGUGGCAGUUGUCCUGCCAAGGGCACGGCUGGUUGGCUACCUACGGAAGGGAUAAGCGCUGAAAGCAUCUAAGUGCGAAACCCGUUCCAAGAUGAGAUUUCCCACUGGGUUAACCAGGUAAGGCCCGUGGUAGACCACCACGUUGAUAGGCCGGAGGUGUACGUGCGGUAACGCAUUUAGCCGACCGGUACUAAUCGGCCGAGGGCUUGGAUC
rnacentral:rRNA from 1 species